UGGGGAAUUUUGGACAAUGGGCGAAAGCCUGAUCCAGCAAUGCCGCGUGUGUGAAGAAGGCCUUCGGGCUGUAAAGCACUUUUGUCCGGAAAGAAAUUCUUGGCUCUAAUACAGUCGGGGGAUGACGGUACCGGAAGAAUAAGCACCGGCUAACUACGUGCCAGCAGCCGCGGUAAUACGUAGGGUGCAAGCGUUAAUCGGAAUUACUGGGCGUAAAGCGUGCGCAGGCGGUUUGCUAAGACCGAUGUGAAAUCCCCGGGCUCAACCUGGGAACUGCAUUGGUGACUGGCAGGCUAGAGUAUGGCAGAGGGGGGUAGAAUUCCACGUGUAGCAGUGAAAUGCGUAGAGAUGUGGAGGAAUACCGAUGGCGAAGGCAGCCCCCUGGGCCAAUACUGACGCUCAUGCACGAAAGCGUGGGGAGCAAACAGGAUUAGAUACCCUGGUAGUCCACGCCCUAAACGAUGUCAACUAGUUGUUGGGGAUUCAUUUCCUUAGUAACGUAGCUAACGCGUGAAGUUGACCGCCUGGGGAGUACGGUCGCAAGAUUAAAACUUAAAGGAAUUGACGGGGUCAUAGCUGUUUCCU
rnacentral:rRNA from 1 species